AUUGAACGCUGGCGGCAGGCCUAACACAUGCAAGUCGAGCGAGCGGCGGACGGGUGAGUAAUGUCUGGGAAACUGCCUGAUGGAGGGGGAUAACUACUGGAAACGGUAGCUAAUACCGCAUACCAUCAGAUGUGCCCAGAUGGGAUUAGCUGGUAGGUGGGGUAACGGCUCACCUAGGCGACGAUCCCUAGCUGGUCUGAGAGGAUGACCAGCCACCCUGGAACUGGGAACCGGUCCAGACUCCUACGGGGGGGAGGCGUGGGGAAUAUUGCACAAUGGGGGCAAGCCUGAUGCAGCCAUGCCGCGGUUGGUAAAGAGGCCUUUGGGUUUUAAAGCACUUUCAGCGGGGAGGCGUUACCCGCAGAAGAAGCACCGGCUAACUCCGUGCCAGCAGCCGCGGUAAUUC
rnacentral:rRNA from 1 species